rnacentral:rRNA from 1 species
GACGAACGCUGGCGGCGUGCCUAAUACAUGCAAGUCGAGCGAGUCUGCCCUGAAGAUCGGAGUGCUUGCACUCUGGGACACGAGAUACAGGCUAGCGGCGGACGGGUGAGUAACACGUGGGUAACCUGCCCACGAGAUCGGGAUCCCACCUGGAAACAGUUGCUCAUACCGGAUAACAGCAGGUGAUGCCUGUCAACUGUGUAAAAGAUGGUUCUGCUCUCACUCUUGGAUGGACCUGCGGUGAAUUAGCUAGUUGGUAGGGUAACGGCCUACCAAGGCGAUUAUGGAUAGCCGAGUUGAGAGACUGAUCGGCCACAUUGGGACUGAGACACGGCCCAAACGCCUACGGGAGGCAGCAGUAGGGAAUCUUCCACAAUGGACGCAAGUCUGAUGGAGCAACGCCGCGUGAGUGAAGAAGGGGUUCGGCGCGUAAAGCUCUGUUGUUGGUGAAGAAGGACAGGGGUAGUAACUGACCUUUGUUUGACGGUAAUCAAUUAGAAAGUCACGGCUAACUACGUG